AGCCAGGAACCAUGCGAACGGACGCCGCCUAACCCCGCCAGGUUCGGAAGGAAGCAACGGUAAGCGGUUGUUCGUUGCGCCGUGGCAUCAGACUUCG
rnacentral:SRP_RNA from 1 species